GCCAGGGGCAAGGAGGCACGCAGGGUCGCAGCGACUUGGAGCAAGCCCUGGGGUCUCGCUGGCUGCUCCACCCUGAGUGGAUGGGAGGCCAAAUCUCUGGAGAGUGGGGAGCACAGCUGGGCUGGCUGGGGUAGGGGCAAGAAGUUAAGUCCGGUGGCUGGCAGAGCCACUGCCAUACUCACCCAGCUUCUGGGAAAAGAUCUUCUCAAAGGUCACCUCGCCCCGGUCCUCCAGGUACUUCUGCAUGACACUGCGGAUGCUGGGCUCGGGCAGCAGGAUCUUCUUGCUGGCGCGCGCGGCCGGCGUGGCCUUGCUCUUCUCCAUGGCCAUCAGGUAGCUCACGUCGGCCAGCACCGCCUCCAGGUCCGCCAUCUUGGCGGCGGCGCUGCCUCCUCCCGCCGCCGCCGCCGCCGCCGCCGCUCCUGCUCGCUCGGCGCUCGGCCCGGCCCGGCCGCGGCUCGCUCGGCCUCGGGCGCCGACGCCUCCCGCCUGGCCCUGCUCGGCGCCCGCGGCUCCGCUCGCCGCCGCUCACAGGCGGCGCCGCCCCAUGGCGCCGGCUCGGGCCCGGCCCCGGCUCGCGCUCCGCUCCCGCCGGGACUGCAGUCGGGGCGCCGCCGCCGCCGCCGCCCGCG
rnacentral:lncRNA from 1 species